GCCUAACACAUGCAAGUUGAGCGGAUUGACUUAUCGGAAGCCUUCGGGUGGAAGAUAAUGAUAUUAGCGGCGGACGGGUGAGUAACGCGUGGGCAACCUACCUUAUACAGGGGGAUAACAAUGGGAAACCAUUGCUAAUACCCUAUAACACCUUGAGAAGGCAUCUUUUUAAGGUCAAAGAAUUUCGGUAUAGGAUGGGCCCGCGUCGCAUUAGCUAGUUGGUGAGGUAAUGGCUCACCAAGGCGACGAUGCGUAGCCGGCCUGAGAGGGUGAACGGCCACACUGGAACUGAGACACGGUCCAGACUCCUACGGGAGGCAGCAGUGGGGAAUAUUGCACAAUGGGCGCAAGCCUGAUGCAGCGACGCCGCGUGAGGGAUGACGGCCUUCGGGUUGUAAACCUCUUUCAGUAGGGAAGAAGCCGCAAGGUGACGGUACCUGCAGAAGAAGCGCCGGCUAACUACGUGCCAGCAGCCGCCGUAACAC
rnacentral:rRNA from 1 species